AGCUUAUUUCCUUCAGAGAGUCAACUAAGGUAGUGUCAUGGAGUUAGCCGGGGCACUGUUUCUGGUCACUGCUGGCAGGAAGACUCAAGAGGGAGGCACUUACUCCAAUAGUUGGUGUAAUAAGACAGAGAAGGUAGGUCUGAGAAAAGGGUCAAGGAGCCUCCGGCACCUCCAAAUCUCGAGACUAUGGCCUCGGCACCUCUGUGGUGCCAUGAAUCCUUGAAAAUGGAACCAUGAAAAUUGUGGACUACCAGGAUAUGCGAAACUCCUGGUGACAACCUGCAAUCCUGGGAGUGGAACUGGAACCUGAUUGCCAUUUUCAAAGAACUGAAAAGGUGUCCUGAUUUAGUUAAAAUUUAUGCCAUUGUAUUACAUAAACCCUAAAUCAAUCAUCCUGCUGUACUGUGCAAAGCACAGCACCUGUCUGAUCAUUUCAACAUUAGAGCUGAAAUUUCUCAUUUGAUUGACUUGACAUUUGACUCAGCCUUACUGAGUUUGUUAACUUCUAAGUUUUGAUUUUGUUCAGAAAGGGCUUUCGAACCUUUCUGAUAAUUCAAAUUGAAACACAAGCCAUUAUGGUGGGAGUAGCGGUUUCUUUCUGAUAAUUAAACCCGAAAGACCCGGAGAAGCUCACCUCACCUCACCUAAUCUGUUAAACUGUUACAGAGAAGGGGAGGUUCAAUAAAAGAAAAUUCCUGAUAUUCUCUUCAUAAGUGACAAGUAAUAAUUUAUUUAUUUAACCCUAACAGUGAACAAAUUAACCAACAUGCUGACAAACCAGACAAUGCCCCCCUAGCUACCAACUAUUCCCUUACCCAACUAAAUUCUACUGGUAGUCUGUUCUAUUAAACACAAAUCCUACUUAUAUAACCCAAGUAAUGAGAAAAUAAAUUGAAACUUUGUCUCUCCAAGUUUAUGCAUCUUCUUUCUGCUGAUCUCAAGUCAUAAAUGCAUUCUUUUUCACUGGUCUGACUAUCAAGGAUGUUAUCUCUGUGAAGUCUUCUGUGAGGACUCUUAGCUAGAAAUGCGGUACCUUUUAGAUGGUGCAGUCUUAGAGAGCUGAGCAAUUUCUUGUGAGAGCUAGAUGCUUAUUUCUCUGAUGGUGAUUCAC